rnacentral:rRNA from 1 species
AUGUCGAGCUCCACUUCAGCCUCCCGCCCCUCGUGGACCCAGUAUGGUCCACUUCCCAUGGAGCGAUGUCCUGACUACCCACGCAGCGCGCCACUGAUACAAUUGACUUUGAAGGAGGUCAAGAAUGGCAACUAUGGGCGCGAGUUCGUGAAAUGCGAGAGCAAGCCAGAGGGGCAGAUCGUGAAGAAAUGCACACAUUUUGAAUGGCUGGAUGACUACAUUAAGCGGAUUCAAUUCAAUGGGGCCCCAACCCGGGAGCUCAAUUUGCCGUCAGCACCGACGAAUUUGGUCUCUGAAAGUGCUUCUCUGACAGUUGGGGAUGCAUAUCUGAAGGGGGAAUUAAAGAAGAUGAACAAGAACUUGAAGCAGAUGAUUCAAUUGAACAAGCAGGCGAAUCUGAUAGCUUUAGGAUUUUAUCCCUUUUAUUUUUGUAUAGUUGCUCUAGGA